AAAACAUGUCUUCUUGAUUAAAUUAUAUGAAGUCUUACCUGCCCAAUGAUUUAUUUUAAUGGCCGCGGUAUUUUGACCGUGCAAAGGUAGCAUAAUAAAUUGUCUAUUAAAUGUGGACUUGAAUGAAAGGUUUGACGAGGUAUAAGCUGUCUCUAAUAAAUUUUUGUUAGAAUUUAAAUUUUAAGUUAAAAUGCUUUAAAUAAAAUUGAAGGACGAGAAGACCCUAUAGAGUUUUAUGUUAGUCCUUAUAUUAUUUAUUAGUAGAUUUAUUUGUAUUAUUUUGGCUACCAUUUCGUUGGGGUGACGGGAAGAUUUAGUUAACUCUUUUUAUUAAUGUACAUUAAUUAAUGGUUUAUUUAUUGAUCCAGAAUUUUUGAUUAUAAGAUUAAAUUACCUUAGGGAUAACAGCGUAAUGUUUUUUGAGAGUUCUUAUCGACAAGAAAGAUUGCGACCUCGAUGUUGGAUUAAGGUUAAUUUUAGGUGUAGAAGCUUAGAAUAUUAGGUCUGUUCGACCUUUAAAUCCUUACA
rnacentral:rRNA from 1 species